rnacentral:lncRNA from 1 species
AUGUGUAAAGCUCAUAUAGGCUGGUGUGUACUGGCAUUACUGGGACAUGUGUUCUCUCCAGAGCUGAGUCAGGAAAUGACACCAGGCUUAUGUAGUAUAAAAGCACGACCCAAGAAUGGUGUAAGCUGCAGAGCUGGGGCUGUGGAUUGGUGUCAGUGUCACAAGUGCUUCCAGGUAAUGCUGAGUCUCAGCAACUUCGUGAGAGCUGGAUGUGAUGGGCUUGUGCCACUGCAAAAGGAAAACUCCUUUCCUGGGAGUUACAGACGUGGUCCCUGCCAAGGCAGUAUAUCUCAGUGA